GCCCUAGUAACGGCGAGUGAAGCGGCAACAGCUCAAAUUUGAAAUCUGGCCUCUUACAGGGCCCGAGUUGUAAUUUGCAGAGGAUGCUUUUGGCGUGGUGCCUUCCGAGUUCCCUGGAACGGGACGCCAUAGAGGGUGAGAGCCCCGUCUAGUUGGACACCGAAGCCUCUAUAAAGCUCCUUCGACGAGUCGAGUAGUUUGGGAAUGCUGCUCAAAGUGGGAGGUAUAUGUCUUCUAAAGCUAAAUACCGGCCAGAGACCGAUAGCGCACAAGUAGAGUGAUCGAAAGAUGAAAAGCACUUUGAAAAGAGGGUUAAAUAGUACGUGAAAUUGCUGAAAGGGAAGCGCUUAUAACCAGACGUGGAAAUGUCCAAUCACCUAGCACUUGUGGCUAGGGUACUUGGGCUUCUCCAGGCCAGCAUCGGUUCGCUGUGGGAAAUAAAGACGCCUGGAACGUAGCCCCUCUCGGGGGGUGUUAUAGCCUGGCGUGCAAUGUCCUGCAGCGGACCGAGGUCAGCGCGUAAUUGCAAUGAUGCUGGCAUAAUGGUUAUUAGUGACCCGUCUUGAAACACGGACCAAGGAGUCGUCUUCGUAUGCGAGUGUUUGGGUGUCGAAACCCGUGCGCACAAUAAAAGUGAACGUAGGUGAGAGCUCUCUGGAGCGCAUCACCGACCGAUCCUGAUGUUCUACGGAUGGAUUUGAGUAAGAGCAUACGGGGCCGGACCCGAAAGAAGGUGAACUAUGCCUGCGUAGGGUGAAGCCAGAGGAAACUCUGGUGGAGGCUCGCAGCGGUUCUGACGUGCAAAUCGAUCGUCAAACGUGGGCAUGGGGGCGAAAGACUAAUCG
rnacentral:rRNA from 1 species